rnacentral:rRNA from 1 species
UACGGAGGGUGCGAGCGUUGUCCGGAAUCACUGGGCGUAAAGGGUGCGUAGGCGGACUUUUAAGUCAGGGGUGAAAUCCCGGGGCUCAACCCCGGAACUGCCUUUGAUACUAUUGGUCUUGAAUGUUGUGGAGGUGGGCGGAACGGGUCAUGUAGCGGUGAAAUGCAUAGAUAUGACCCGGAACACCGAUUGCGAAGGCAGCCCGCUACGCAACGAUUGACGCUGAGGCACGAAAGCGUGGGGAUCAAACAGG